GACGAACGCUGGCGGCGUGCUUAACACAUGCAAGUCGAACGGAAAGGCCCUGCUUUUGUGGGGUGCUCGAGUGGCGAACGGGUGAGUAACACGUGAGUAACCUGCCCUUGACUUUGGGAUAACUUCAGGAAACUGGGGCUAAUACCGGAUAGGAGCUCCUGCUGCAUGGUGGGGGUUGGAAAGUUUCGUCGGUUGGGGUUGGACUCGCGGCUAAUCAGCUUGUUGGUGGGGUAGUGGCUUACCAAGGCUUGGACGGGUAGCCGGCCUGAGAGGGUGACAGGCCCCAUAGGGCUAGGGGAGGGGCCAGUGCGGAAUAUGGGGCAAGGGGUGGGAAUUUGGUCCAACCGGACCGAGGCGGGAGAGACGACCUCCGGGUUGGGAAGGCCGUCUUUCGGGUAAGAAACGCCUUUGGCUAGUACCGAGCUGUUCUGACGGUAAUCGGAGAAGAAGCACCGGCUAACUUCGUG
rnacentral:rRNA from 1 species